rnacentral:rRNA from 1 species
CCUACGGGUGGCAGCAGUGGGGAAUAUUGGACAAUGGGGGGAACCCUGAUCCAGCCAUGCCGCGUGUGUGAAGAAGGCCCUCGGGUUGUAAAGCACUUUCAGUGAGGAAGAACGCCUGGUGGUUAAUACCCAUCAGGAAAGACAUCACUCACAGAAGAAGCACCGGCUAACUCCGUGCCAGCAGCCGCGGUAAUACGGAGGGUGCGAGCGUUAAUCGGAAUUACUGGGCGUAAAGCGCGCGUAGGUGGCUUGAUAAGCCGGUUGUGAAAGCCCCGGGCUCAACCUGGGAACGGCAUCCGGAACUGUCAAGCUAGAGUGCAGGAGAGGAAGGUGGAAUUCCCGGUGUAGCGGUGAAAUGCGUAGAGAUCGGGAGGAAUACCAGUGGCGAAGGCGGCCUUCUGGACUGAAACUGACACUGAGGUGCGAAAGCGUGGGUAGCAAACAGGAUUAGAUACCCCAGUAGUC